CAGCAGCCGCGGGAAUACGGAGGGAGCUAGCGUUGUUCGGAAUUACUGGGCGUAAAGCGCACGUAGGCGGCUUUGUAAGUUAGAGGUGAAAGCCUGGAGCUCAACUCCAGAAUUGCCUUUAAGACUGCAUCGCUUGAAUCCGAGAGAGGUGAGUGGAAUUCCGAGUGUAGAGGUGAAAUUCGUAGAUAUUCGGAAGAACACCAGUGGCGAAGGCGGCUCACUGGCUCGGUAUCGACGCUGAGGUGCGAAAGCGUGGGGAGCAAACAGGAUUAGAUACCCCUGUAGUCCCUGUCUCUUAUAC
rnacentral:rRNA from 1 species